rnacentral:rRNA from 1 species
GACGAACGCUGGCGGCGUGCUUAACACAUGCAAGUCGAACGGAAAGGCCCUGCUUUUGUGGGGUGCUCGAGUGGCGAACGGGUGAGUAACACGUGAGUAACCUGCCCUUGACUUUGGGAUAACUUCAGGAAACUGGGGCUAAUACCGGAUAGGAGCUCCUGCUGCAUGGUGGGGGUUGGAAAGUUUCGGCGGUUGGGGAUGGACUCGCGGCUUAUCAGCUUGUUGGUGGGGUAGUGGCUUACCAAGGCUUUGACGGGUAGGCGGCCUGAGAGGGUGACCGGGGACAUGGGGACUGAGAGACGGCCCAGACUGCUACGGGAGGCAGCAGUGGGGAAUAUUGCACAAUGGGCGGAGGCGUGAUGCAGCAACGCCGCGGGCGGGAUGACGGCCUUCGGGUUGUGAACCGCUGUCGCCUGUGACGAAGCGUGAGUGACGGUAAUGGGUAAAGAAGCACCGGCUAACUACGUG